CCUACAGCACAGGUAGCAAGCAGCAGCACCCAGCAGCCAGCAGCUUCCUCCAGAAGCCCCUUAGGUGGCUUUGGAGCAAGUGCCUCUAAUGAGUCACCUCCCUCAGCAGCUUUCCUUGGAACCCCAGAGAAUGGAUUUCCAACGAGUUCUGGAAUGUGGAUUUCUAGCAAGUUCCAGAAGGCAGAAUUCUAGCAGGGCUCUCCUGCUAUUCAGAAAGUUACAACUGUGCCCUCUCCAGCAAAGUCUGGAUCUCAGCCAGCCCUAAGAGUGUGUCUGUGUCUUGGAGGAGCUCUUUUUGAGAUGCUGUAUCUCAGCCCUAGGGUGCAAGCCCAGAGGCAGUCUAUACCCCAACUCAACUGGCUGGUCCUCAAUGCUGCCUGCUUCCGUGCCCAACUUAGAACUACACAUCUGCUGCCUCUUGGUAACAUGUCAUUAUAAGGCUUCUUCAUCAGCCCUAACCCUGCCAACCACUCCUGCCUCACUGAAUGUGCCAACGGAUUGCUCAGCUCCAACCAAGGAAAAGAAGAAGGAAGUUGGAUACUUUAUACCCUCUACAUUGUCCAUUAGCAACACAACCUAGAGCUAGGAUGGAGAAAGAAAAUGCCAAAAUGCUAAUGAAAAAUGUUCAGAUGUAUCACAUAUUAAGCAUACAUGAUCUCAAAUAUUUUGCCUGAUUUAUGCUAUGCAUGCUAUUUUCCAUGUUGUGUAGGCUCUGAUGCUAGUCUACAUUUACAGAAAUCUCCAUCAGCUGUACAAAUGGCAAUUUAAAUACAUUUAACUAUGUGCUAAUAAUCUCAUAAUACAAUUUAUCAUGUAUGAUUGGCAGAAGAAAUUAUUUGGGGCAAAAGCUAUGAUUGUAUUGUUGUAAGUUAUUAUGAAUGCUGGGCAGUGUAGGGCAUGGCACUUGCUACCACCUCCCAGAAAUGUGUAAGGGCUGUUGAAGGUGCCUUGUUCUUCUUUCUUCUUCAAUAUAAGCAAAGCUAUUUAUAUCAUAAAGCUGAAACUUGAAAUUCCA
rnacentral:lncRNA from 1 species